rnacentral:rRNA from 1 species
UGAGGUGACGAUAGCGUCAUGGUCCCACCUGAUCCCAUUCCGAACUCAGAAGUGAAACGUGUCAGCGCCUAUGGUACUGCGGCUUAAGUCGUGGGAGAGUCGGUCAUUGCCUUGC